ACCAUGGGGCAGAUAGAAUGCUAGUCGAGCGCCUUCCAGCCAUGACGAAGGCGCGGCACACAGCUCAGUAACACGUGGCUAACCUGCCCUUGGGACGAGAACACCCCCGGGAAACUGGGGCUAAUUCUUGAUCGGCGAAGAACUCUGGAAUGAGUCUUCACCCAAAAGACGCUUAGAUCAUGCUUCUAGGCGCCGCCCAAGGAUGGGGCCGCGACCGAUCAGGUAGUUGGUGAGGCAAUGGCUCACCAAGCCUUUAACCGGUGCGGGCCGUGGGAGCGGGAGCCCGGAGAUGGGCACUGAGACAAGGGCCCAGGCCCUACGGGGCGCAGCAGUCGCGAAAACUUUGCAAUAAGCGAAAGCUUGACAGGGCUAUCCCGAGUGCCAUCCGCUGAGGAAGGCUUUUACCCAGUCUAGUAAGCUGGGGGAAUAAGGAGAGGGCAAGUCUGGUGUCAGCCGCCGCGGUAAUACCAGCUCUCCGAGUGGUGUGGAUGUUUAUUGGGCCUAAGCAUCCGUAGCUGGCUGAGUUAGUCCCCUGUUAAAUCCACCGAAUCAAUCGUUGGAUUGCGGGGGAUACUGCUCGGCUAGGGGACGGGAGAGGCAGACGGUAUUUUCGGGGUAGGGGUGAAAUCCUAUAAUCCCGGGAAGACCACCAGUGGCGAAGGCUGUCUGCUAGAACGCGCCCGACGGUGAGGGAUGAAAGCUGGGGUAGCGAACCGGAUUAGAUACCCGGG
rnacentral:rRNA from 1 species